CCUACGGGAGGCAGCAGUGGGGAAUAUUGCGCAAUGGCCGGAAGGCUGAACCAGCCAUGCCGCGUGAAGGUCAGUGCCCUAUGGGCGUUAAACUUCUUUUGUGCGGGAGCAAUAAUGGUCACGUGUGGCCAGACGAGAGUACCGUACGAAUAAGCAUCGGCUAACUCCGUGCCAGCAGCCGCGGUAAUACGGGGGAUGCAAGCGUUAUCCGGAUUUAUUGGGUUUAAAGGGUGCGUAGGCUGUGAGGUAAGUCAGCGGUGAAAUGCCCCCGCUCAACGGGGUGAAGUGCCAUUGAUACUGCCUGGCUGGAAUGCGGAUGCCGUGGGAGGAAUGUGUGGUGUAGCGGUGAAAUGCAUAGAUAUCACACAGAACACCGAUUGCGAAGGCAUCUCACGAAUCCGCGAUUGACGCUGAUGCACGAAAGCGUGGGUAUCAAACAGGAUUAGAUACCCUAGUAGUC
rnacentral:rRNA from 1 species